AUCUCGAGAAUUUAUGCCCCUAUUUAUACAUGACAAAGCCUUACUGGCCUUAGCAACUGCAGAUUGACAUUGCAUAUUGCUGCCUAAUUUGUCUAUAACAAUUCCCAAAUCCUUCUCGUGUGUGGUUAUCCCUAGUUCACUACCAUUCUUAAUCCCGAAGUGCAUAACUUUGCAUUUCUCUACGUUAAAUUUCAUCUGCCAUUUUAGUGCCCAGUCCCC